CUUUGGUCAGAAGUUAUUCUCUGCGUGUGGAAUAGAAGUUUUACACGUUUUUCUGAGAUAAAAGUAAAGAUGCUUUUUGUGUUUUCCUUUUGAGCCGGGUGUUUCAAGUGAACUCAUUUCCUUCUGGGUUAAAUGCAGCCAGCGAGUUUGACGGUGGAUUUUGAUGGUGAAUGUGACGAAGGAGAGAAAGAUGACAACUGUAAUAAAUCCAUCAGUAACCAGAA